AGAGUUUGAUCCUGGCUCAGGACGAACGCUGGCGGCGUGCUUUAAACAUGCAAGUCGAACGGAGAACCACCUUCGGGUGGGGAUCAGUGGCGAACGGGUGAGUAACACGUGAGUAACCUGCCCUGCACACUGGAAUAACCCCGGGAAACCGGGGCUAAUACCGGAUGUUGAUACCUCGAGGCAUCUUGAGGUGUUGAAAGGGUUUCUGGUGCGGGAUGGACUCGCGGCCUAUCAGCUUGUUGGUGGGGUAAUGGCCUACCAAGGCGACGACGGGUAGCCGGCCUGAGAGGGCGACCGGCCACACUGGGACUGAGACACGGCCCAGACUUCUACGGAAGGCAGCAGUUGGGAAUAUUGCGCAAUGGGCGAAAGCCUGACGCAGCAACGCCGCGUGAGGGAAUGAAGGCCUUAGGGCUGUAAACCUCUUUCAGCAGGGACGAAGCGAAAGUGACGGUACCUGCAAAAGAAGCACCGGCUAACUACGUGCCAGCAGCCGCGGUAAUACGUAGGGUGCAAGCGUUGUCCGGAUUUAUUGGGCGUAAAGGGCUCGUAGGCGGCCUGUCACGUCGGAAGAGAAAACCCGGGGCUCAACCCCGGGCCUGCUUUCGAUACGGGCAGGCUUGAGUUCGGUAGGGGAGACUGGAACUCCUGGUGUAGCGGUGGAAUGCGCAGAUAUCAGGAAGAACACCGAUGGCGAAGGCAGGUCUCUGGGCCGAUACUGACGCUGAGGAGCGAAAGCGUGGGGAGCAAACAGGAUUAGAUACCCUGGUAGUCCACGCCGUAAACGGUGGGCGCUAGGUGUGGGGAAUCAUCUACAUUCUCCGCGCCGCAGCUAACGCAUUAAGCGCCCCGCCUGGGGAGUACGGCCGCAAGGCUAAAACUCAAAGGAAUUGACGGGGGCCCGCACAAGCGGCGGAGCAUGCGGCUUAAUUCGAUGCAACGCGAAGAACCUUACCUAGGCUUGACAUAUACGGGAAGCAGGCAGAGAUGUCUGUGCCUUCGGGCUCGUAUACAGGUGGUGCAUGGCUGUCGUCAGCUCGUGUCGUGAGAUGUUGGGUUAAGUCCCGCAACGAGCGCAACCCUCGUUCUAUGUUGCCAGCGGAUAAUGCCGGGGACUCAUAGGAGACUGCCGGGGUCAACUCGGAGGAAGGUGGGGACGACGUCAAGUCAUCAUGCCCCUUACGUCUAGGGCUGCACGCAUGCUACAAUGGCCGGUACAAAGGGCUGCGAAACCGCAAGGUUAAGCGAAUCCCAUAAAGCCGGUCUCAGUUCGGAUUGGGGUCUGCAACUCGACCCCAUGAAGUCGGAGUCGCUAGUAAUCGCAGAUCAGCAACGCUGCGGUGAAUACGUUCCCGGGCCUUGUACACACCGCCCGUCACGUCACGAAAGUCGGUAACACCCGAAGCCGGUGGCCCAACCCUUGUGGAGGGAGCCGUCGAAGGUGGGACUGGCGAUUGGGACGAAGUCGAAACAAGGUA
rnacentral:rRNA from 1 species